rnacentral:SRP_RNA from 1 species
GCCAGGCGUGGUGGCUCACGCCUGUAAUCCAAACACUUUGGAGGCCAAGGUGGGUGGAUCACCUGAGGUCGGGAGUUCAAGACCAGCCUGACCAACAUGGUGAAACCUGUCUUUA